rnacentral:miRNA from 1 species
GAGCUGGGGAUCCAAGGAAAGGCAAAAAUGAGUCCUUGGCCUGAAGGAGCUCCCAGUCUAAUGGGGGGGACA